rnacentral:rRNA from 1 species
GUGGGGAAUCUUGCGCAAUGGGCGAAAGCCUGACGCAGCAACGCCGCGUGAGGGAAGAAGGCUUUCGGGUUGUAAACCUCUUUCAGGAGGGACGAAGCUUCCGAGGUUAAUAGCCUACGGGGUGACGGUACCUCCAGAAGAAGCCCCGGCUAACUACGUGCCAGCAGCCGCGGUAAUACGUAGGGGGCAAGCGUUGUCCGGAAUCAUUGGGCGUAAAGCGCGUGUAGGUGGCUUGGUAAGUCCGGUGUGAAACCCUGGGGCUCAACCCCAGGCCUGCACCGGAUACUGCCUCGCUCGAGUUCGGGAGGGGAGAGCGGAAUUCCUAGUGUAGCGGUGAAAUGCGCAGAUAUUAGGAAGAACACCGGUGGCGAAGGCGGCUCUCUGGAACGAUACUGACACUGAGACGCGAAAGCGUGGGUAGCGAACAGGAUUAGAUACCCCUGUAGUCC